rfam:Triticum aestivum genome assembly, contig: Triticum_aestivum_CS42_TGACv1_scaffold_622622_7DS
UAAGUACUCCCUCCGUUCGGAUUACUUGUCUCGGAAAUGGAUGUAUCUAAAAUGUGUCAUAGAAAUGGAUGUAUCUAGAUGUAUUUUAAUUUUAGAUACAUCCAUUUUCGAGACAAGUAAUUCCGAACGGAGGAAGUAGUUG